rnacentral:rRNA from 1 species
UACGGGGGGUGCAAGCGUUAAUCGGAAUCACUGGGCGUAAAGGGUGCGUAGGCGGUACGUUAGGUCUGUCGUGAAAUCCCCGGGCUCAACCUGGGAAUGGCGGUGGAAACCGGUGUACUAGAGUAUGGGAGAGGGUGGUGGAAUUCCAGGUGUAGCGGUGAAAUGCGUAGAGAUCUGGAGGAACAUCAGUGGCGAAGGCGGCCACCUGGCCCAAUACUGACGCUGAGGCACGAAAGCGUGGGGAGCAAACAGG